rnacentral:misc_RNA from 1 species
GAUGAAGAACGUAGCGAAAUGCGAUAAGUAAUGUGAAUUGCAGAAUUCAGUGAAUCAUCGAAUCUUUGAACGCACAUUGCGCCCGCCAGUAUUCUGGCGGGCAUGCCUGUUCGAGCGUCAUUUCAACCCUCAGGGCCCUUUUGGACCUGGCGUUGGGGCUCGGCCGCUACCCUGCGUCCGUCCCCGAAAGAUAGUGGCGGUCUCGCUGUAGCCUCCUCUGCGUAGUAGUUACAUCUCGCACUGGAACGCGGCGCGGCCAUGCCGUUAAACACCCCACUUCUCAAGGUUGACCUCGGAUCAGGUAGGAAUACCCGCUGAACUUAAGCAUAUCAAUAAGCGGAGGA